rnacentral:rRNA from 1 species
CCUACGGGGUGCAGCAGUGGGGAAUAUUGCACAAUGGGGGGAACCCUGAUGCAGCGACGCCGCGUGAGUGAAGAAGUAUUUCGGUAUGUAAAGCUCUAUCAGCAGGGAAGAAGAUGACGGUACCUGACUAAGAAGCCCCGGCUAACUACGUGCCAGCAGCCGCGGUAAUACGUAGGGGGCAAGCGUUAUCCGGAUUUACUGGGUGGAAAGGGAGCGUAGACGGCAGGGCAAGUCUGGAGUGAAAGCCCGGGGCCCAACCCCGGGACUGCUUUGGAAACUGCCAUGCUAGAGUGCUGGAGAGGUAAGCGGAAUUCCUAGUGUAGCGGUGAAAUGCGUAGAUAUUAGGAGGAACACCAGUGGCGAAGGCGGCUUACUGGACAGUAACUGACGUUGAGGCUCGAAAGCGUGGGGAGCAAACAGGAUUAGAUACCCGAGUAGCC